rnacentral:lncRNA from 1 species
CGCCAUCGUCGUCGUCAUAUAUAUAUAUACAAGAAGUUCAAAAAUCAACUAUUUUUUUUUUCAGUUCCAAGAAAUUUAGAAUAACUUCUUGAAUAAUAUUUUCACAAAUCAAUUUCUUGAAUAACACUAACUUCUUGUUUACAUUCGUUUAUCUUGAGCCACAGAAAGUGAUUAAUCAGCUCCUCAUCUAAAAAAGAAAAAUGAAUACAUUUCUCACCCAUUUUCUCCUAAAAUCGUACCUAGAAAGCCACUGCUGUUUCACCGACACACGGUCCUUACCACCUCUAGCCUGCAUAACCUCGUUGAAGAAAAAAUCAACCUUAAUCCAUUUACCCCUAAAAUAGAGACCGGGUUUUGAAAACUUAAAAAGACAAAUGAACACAUUUGUCACCCAUUUUCUCCCAAAAUCGUACCCUGGAAAGCCAUCAACGUUUCGCCGACACACGGUCCUCAUCAACUCUGGCCUGCAUCACCUUGUUGAAAAAGAAAUCAACCUCAAUCUAUUUACCCCUAAAACAAAGACCUCCGUCACAAAUUGAUUCGAGUUUGUAGAUCAAUAACAAGAUGUGAGCUGCAAACUUCCAGCCACCAUGAAGUCUAGACCAAAAUCAUCAUCUGCCUAUGAACACAUCAUUUAUACACAUCGCUUGAGAGUAAGCAAUUGUUGUGGUUGUUGCUAUGUUUCUGUAAGGGUUUUAUAUUUGUGUUCAACGAAAUGAAUUCUUCGUCUCCGUCAAUAACAUUUUUUGAUUUUGACAUGGAUUUGUUUUUGUUAUCAUGCCUUUGAUUUUGUAAGGGUUUUACAGUUGCUACUAUUUUCGAUGUAUUGUAUACAAGUCACCAAUUUGAGCUUUAUAUUUGGAGAUUAAAAAUCUUGGUGAGAAUUAUAUUGUCAUUUUUGGGUUUUUCCCUACUGGAAUCUAAUUUAGCCAUAUUUUGCUUUGUAUUUUUGGGGUUUUCCUUGCUGGCAUCUAAAAAAUAGUUAGAAUUAUACCAAUUUGAGCUUGUAUUUUGCUUGUUCGUUUAAUUCGUGCCACAAUAGGAAGAAUUUUGACAUUAUUUUUAUGGUUUAAAAAAAANNN